AGUGAACGCUGGCGGUAGGCCUAACACAUGCAAGUCGAACGGCAGCACAGUAAGAGCUUGCUCUUACGGGUGGCGAGUGGCGGACGGGUGAGGAAUACAUCGGAAUCUACUUUUUCGUGGGGGAUAACGUAGGGAAACUUACGCUAAUACCGCAUACGACCUACGGGUGAAAGCAGGGGAUCUUCGGACCUUGCGCGAUUGAAUGAGCCGAUGUCGGAUUAGCUAGUUGGCGGGGUAAAGGCCCACCAAGGCGACGAUCCGUAGCUGGUCUGAGAGGAUGAUCAGCCACACUGGAACUGAGACACGGUCCAGACUCCUACGGGAGGCAGCAGUGGGGAAUAUUGGACAAUGGGCGCAAGCCUGAUCCAGCCAUACCGCGUGGGUGAAGAAGGCCUUCGGGUUGUAAAGCCCUUUUGUUGGGAAAGAAAAGCAGAAGGUUAAUACCCCGCUGUUCUGACGGUACCCAAAGAAUAAGCACCGGCUAACUUCGUG
rnacentral:rRNA from 1 species